rnacentral:tRNA from 1 species
UCAAAUAAUGAAGUAAAAAAUUACAUUUAGUUUCGACCUAAAAUUAAGGUGUAUACCCUUAUUUGAA